CCUUCCUCAGGAGCACGCCCCCUCCAAAAAAUAACAGGAGAAACAGGAGGACGAUGCGCUGCUUGAUCCAACCCAGUCUCCGUCCUUUUCUAUCAUCCAAUCCAACCCUAUCUCCUUUCCCUUCGUUGAUCCAAUCCCUCCAGUUCUUGCGUCCAUAGGGUGCCCGGCAGGGUCUCCUUUGGCCGUUGCAUAGAGGAUAGUGUACGCACAUAUAAAUACAUAUCUACUCCUUCAACCUAAACCCCGGCCAAAUUGCGCUGUUCGGUCCAUGCUUGACAUUGUAGUCUUGUCGUUCUUUCAAAGUACGCCCGUCCGUGCUCUAGCCAAGGAAUUAGAGAAGAGAAGAGGGGAAAAGGGAAGAGAACGAGUCAAGUUAGACGUAGCACCGACGGAGAUAGCCGCAUGCAAUCCGAGUAUGUUUCGUUGGCUAGGAUUGAUCGGCAGCUAUAGAGAAAGAAAUAACCAAUUGAUCGAUCUAAGAGAGCUCAAUGUCAUGGACCAGUAUAAUUGAAGUGUGAGCAUCCAAUGCAUCCAGUCCAGGGAAUCACGAGUGGGUCCGAGCCGCCACCACUACACAUUGAUUAAGCCUGGACGUAUGUUUGUUUGGAGUUUGAAGGGAACCAACGCCAAAUGUGCAACACGUAGGAGUAGCUUGUGCAGCAGGGCUCCUUGCGUCGCUCACGGGUUACACAUGUUGUGAUGAGGUUCUCAGAUGCAACACGCUGGUCUUCCAGGGAAACGUCGACAAGCGUACCUGUGUUUCCGGGGUGGACGAGGCCCUGUAAACACUUACAGUGUGUUGUUGGCACAACCUGACCUUGCUGAUGCGACAUGAGUUUUUUCUAGCAAUCAUGCACCUCUGAAGAGUGAAGACUAACUAGACUACUUUCUGAACUGACCGGACGCGACGAGAUAAGCAAGUACGGAAAAACUAGCUGAUUUAUUCACCUUACAAUUAUACUAUUAUUUGAAGAUGCGAAUAUCUACUGAAAGUGUUGAUGUAAUGGUGUUGAUAGGUUUUGUGAGUAUUUGAAAUGCCUUUUUAAGUAGAGGUAUUAGAGAUACGAAGUUCUAGCUUUGUUCUUGGGGUAAUCUGAAAAAGAACUUUUGAGGUAGCUCAACUAAUCUGGUGUAAAGCUAUGAAGCAUUUUUAUUUUUUGAAAAGAUUACUGAAGGGGGAUACCUUAAUUUUGUUUUAUCCCUACAUCAGUUUAAGUAUAUUAAGCUCACAUUUAGUUAGAUGUAUAGCUUGCAUGGCAAUAUUCUAAUGUAUACUGCUAGCCAUGCACUUGCCUUUGUGGAUAACCAGGAGUACAGGCGCCUGCGCUUUAAGAGAACAGGAACAACGCAAGUCCUCCCUACACCUCCUCUCCAAUUCUGCCCAAGUGCAUCCUACUUUCUCCCUGCUUGCUUAUAGUUUUUUCUUACUUUUACUGCUUGACGUUCUUAAAUUAUAUUCAGUUGUAGUUACGAUAGUUGAUUGUUUGCUAGACCUUUGUGUCGUAAUACGGAUUGAUUGUGUUAAAUCUUACCGACAAAAAGACUAUUCCUCUUUUCAUUACAUGGAAGAACAUAUGUGUGAGAUGAGAGAGGCAACUGAUGUGGUUCUUUAUCAUGUUGCUACCAUCGCAAGCACUUGUUAAUUGAAGUUCAAGUGCAAAUGAUUACGCCAAUUAUGUGACAUCAUUUUUUUACUAAAGGUUAGUACAAUGAUUGACAGAUUGAUAUUACUUGGCCUGAACUCACGAUUUCCUUUUAGCUCUUCUCAAAAAUAUAUGUGCAACAAGAUCUCUAAAAAUGCAAAAAGCGGAAAGAAGUACAAACAGUUGAAUAAUUAUAGGUUUUCUUUCCAGAAAGAACAUAAUAAUUUUUAAUGCUACCCAAUAUUUGUAAUUGAAAAAGAGAGGAUGUACGUGCUUUACAUCAUCGGUGCUCGCCUCAAUCUGUUUCAAGCUAGAGAAUAGUAUGUGUGUAUAGUCUGAUUUUGCUCUGUCCAUAUUUCAAAUCUAACACAUACUGGAGCCAAAUAUUGAGCACGGAGCAGCCCUAAAUAUUGUUGGAUUACAUAGGUUCUGUAACUCCCUUACAUCCAAGCAGCCCUAAAUAUUGUUGGAUUACAUAGGUUCUGUAACUCCCUUACAUCCAUUGUGCACUAAACCACUACAAUUUCCAUCAUAUGGGAGAAUUUCGACCUACACUCCUGCUAUCUACAGAUUUUUCUUUUUCUAGGUUAUGGAUAUCACACUGCAUGUAUUCACCAUUGUCAUGUAGGCUAAUAUUACUUCCUAACUAUAUAUACUUCAUCUACAGUUCAUAUCUUCAGCUGAGCAAUAUUUUACACUCAACAUGUCCUUUUAUUGUAGGAGCCACCCAACAUGUCUUGGCAAAGAUGGAAAGAGGAUGAGUUCUUCAUUUCGUAUAGGUGAUUAUUUGAUGUUUUCGAUGAUUGGCUCGAUUCCUUCCUUCUAGCAAAGACCCUCAAAUAAUUCUCACCUAUGUGUGUGUGCGAGGUAGGGGUCUCGAGCCAUGUUUAUUGGGUUAGGUAUGCAUAUUUUUUCACAUGUUGCAACGCAUAAGCAUUUUUAAUAGUGCUCACCUAUGUGUGUAUGUGGGAGGAAGGAGUUUUGAACCAUGUUUAUUGGGUUAGGUACGUGUAUUUCUUCACCCAUUGCAACACACGGACAUUUUUGCUAGUUAAUGAAUAAUAUAAAUGGACAUGCUCCUUGAGCUGAUGCGGUCAUUUGAUAGAUAGCACCUGCAUAAAAGGGCAUCCAGAUGCUAUCUAGUAUAUAUCAUUUGUAAUGCAAUGCACAAUAAAGUUGCCCUAUGUUUUCUUA